GCACUAGUAGCUCAGCUGGAUAGAGUACCUGACUACGAAUCAGGGGGUCGCAGGUUCGAAUCCUGCCUAGUGUA
rnacentral:tRNA from 1 species